GAUGAACGCUAGCGACAGGCUUAACACAUGCAAGUCGAGGGGCAGCAUUAAUAAUAGCAAUAUUAUUAGAUGGCGACCGGCGCACGGGUGAGUAACGCGUAUGCAACCUACCUAUCAGGGGGGGAUAGCCCAUUGAAAGAUGGAUUAAUACCGCAUAAAGCAGGGAUCCCGCAUGGGAAUAUUUGCUAAAGAUUUAUUGCUGAUAGAUGGGCAUGCGUUCCAUUAGCUAGUUGGUAAGGUAACGGCUUACCAAGGCUACGAUGGAUAGGGGUUCUGAGAGGAAGGUCCCCCACACUGGUACUGAGACACGGACCAGACUCCUACGGGAGGCAGCAGUGAGGAAUAUUGGUCAAUGGGCGAGAGCCUGAACCAGCCAAGUCGCGUGAAGGAUGACUGCCCUAUGGGUUGUAAACUUCUUUUAUGAGGGAAUAAAAAGGGGAACGUGUUCCCUCUUGCAUGUACCUUAUGAAUAAGCAUCGGCUAACUCCGUGCCAGCCGCCGCCGUAACAC
rnacentral:rRNA from 1 species